rnacentral:rRNA from 1 species
CCUACGGGUGGCAGCAGUGAGGAAUAUUGGGCAAUGGGCGCGAGCCUGAACCAGCCAAGCAGCGUGAAGGAUGACGGCCCUACGAGUUGUAAACUCCUUUUGUAAAGGAAUAAAGUGAGGCACGUGUGCCUCUUUGAAUGUACUUUACGAAUAAGGAACGGCUAACUCCGUGCCAGCAGCCGCGGUAAUACGGAGGAUCCGAGCGUUAUCCGGAUUUAUUGGGUUGAAAGGGAACGUAGGUGGGUUGUUAAGUCAGUGGUGAAAUUUUGCGGCUCAACCUGGAAAUUGCAUUUGAUACUGGCAACCUUGAGUGUAGGAGAGGAAGGCGGAAUUCGUGGUGUAGCGGUGAAAUGCGUAGAUAUCACGAAGAACUCCGAUUGCGAAGGCAGCCUACUAAUCUACCACUGACGUUGAGGCGCGAAAGUGUGGGUAGCAAACAGGAUUAGAUACCCCGGUAGUC